GUCUCUGUAGCGCAAUGGAUAGCGCGUUGGACUUCGAAUUCAAAGGUCGUGGAUUCGAACCCCACCUGGAAUG
rnacentral:tRNA from 1 species